rnacentral:rRNA from 2 species
UGAAAUCAGGCGGGAUUACCCGCUGAACUUAA